rnacentral:rRNA from 1 species
UUGGAGGGCAAGUCUGGUGCCAGCAGCCGCGGUAAUUCCAGCUCCAAUAGCGUAUAUUAAAGUUGCUGCAGUUAAAAAGCUCGUAGUUGAACUUCGGGGUUCAUCCGUUGGUCGGGCUUUUUUGGCGUGAUGGAUUCCUACCUUCUGAAUAACCAGCAUGUCAUUAGUUUGGUGCGCUGGGGAAGCAGGACUGUUACCUUGAAAAAAUUAGAGUGCUUAAAGCAGGUUAUCGCCUGAAUACAUUAGCAUGGAAUAAUGAAAUAGGACGGCAUGGUUCUAUUUUGUUGGUUUCUAGGAUCACCGUAAUGAUUAAUAGGGAUAGUUGGGGGCAUUAGUAUUCAAUUGUCAGAGGUGAAAUUCUUGGAUUUAUUGAAGACUAACUUCUGCGAAAGCAUUUGCCAAGGAUGUUUUCAUUAACUA